rnacentral:rRNA from 1 species
UACGGGGGGAGCAAGCGUUGUUCGGAUUUACUGGGCGUAAAGGGCGCGUAGGCGGCGCAACAAGUCACUUGUGAAAUCUCCGGGCUUAACCCGGAGCGGUCAAGUGAUACUGUCGUGCUAGAGUGCGGAAGGGGCUACUGGAAUUCUCGGUGUAGCGGUGAAAUGCGUAGAUAUCGAGAGGAACACCUGCGGCGAAGGCGGGUAGCUGGGCCGACACUGACGCUGAUGCGCGAAAGCCAGGGGAGCGAACAGG